UACGUAGGAUGCAAGCGUUGUUCGGAAUUACUGGGCGUAAAGAGUACGUAGGCGGUGCCUUAAGUCUGUUAUUAAAGACCGGAGCUUAACUUCGGGAGUGUAAUGGAAACUGGGGUGCUAGAGGUUGAUAGAGGAAAUCGGAAUUCCCAGUGUAGCGGUGAAAUGCGUAGAUAUUGGGAAGAACACCGGCGGCGAAAGCGGAUUUCUGGGUCAAUACUGACGCUGAGGUACGAAGGCGUGGGGAGCAAACAGG
rnacentral:rRNA from 1 species